CUUUUCAUUAAAUGUUUUUUUCUUCCUUGUGUUUCAAAAAAGAAAUAUUUUCUUCCUUUUCUACGAUUCUAAUUUCAAAAAGUUUGUUCUAACUAAAUCCCUAUAUCUCAUAUCUUUCGGCAUCUAACAGGAAUCUGAGUAUCUAAAUAACAUUAUUAUAAAUCUUCUCCUGAUCUUUCUCAUGAUUCAUCCUUGCCAUGUUCCAUGUGGUGUUGCUUUUUCUAGAGGUUGAAGGCGGACUGGAUAUGACGACGACUGUUGGAUUGUGGAGUCGAAGCAAUCAAGGUAGCAAUGACACGAUCGGUGGAUGAGUGCGCAAGAAGAAAAGCUCGAGUGGUUGAGAGAUUCAGUUGUUCAGAUGGUGACGAAUCUGAGAGAAUGAUCGUGGACUUAUACGAACGAGGCUGAGCAACAGGUUUGACUACGACGGCCAUGAAUCUGGAGAUGAAGAAUGUGGAGACAGAGCACCUAAUGAAAGCUCUUUUGGAGCAUGAUCUGUAACUGAAUCCACCAGAAGGAAACAAUCACGAGCAAGUAUGUAAUCCACUAGAAGGAAACAAUCUAAUCUCACUUUCUUGAUCGUCCAUGAGGACAUAAGCAAUGGUUUGGUGAGGGAGAGAAGCACGUGAAAGCUGUUUUCUUUUUAGCAAGUAAUAUAGCUCUAAUCGUGUUUUUUUUGUGUGGAUGAGGUUGAUAGCAUGUUGGGGAGGUGCGAGAAUCCUGGAGAACAUGAAGCUAUGCUAAAGAUGAAGACGAAUUCAUGAUAAACCGGAGAGCGCACAAAGGAUGAAGAAAGAGUCUUAGUACUAGCUGCUACAACUAGACAUUCCACCUUGAUGAAGCAGUAGCUAGAAGCUUCCCAAAAGGUAAUAAACUGCUAAUAUUAAUAGGUAAUAAAGGUUACACUGAAUACAUUGGCCGAUAUAUUACCAAACCAGAAUAGUCAAUGGCUACAUUAUAUAAAUGGUUAGGUGAAUACUCAUUAAUACAUAUUAUCAUAAUAAUCAACUAUAUAAUAUAAGGUGUUUCUGAAAACUCAUUAAUAUACAUGGAAUCUUAGUCUAUGAUAUAUAUAACAUAUCAUCUCCUAAAAUUAUCAUAUUUUAUAAAAUAGGUUAUAUAAUUUUCAUAUAAUAAAACAAAUACUAAACCCUAUACCAUAGUUAACCAAAUCGUAAACUCUAAAACAUAAAUCAAAUAUAAUUCAAGCCACAUAACACCUAUUAUUCUCACCAAAAUACAAACUCCCACUUAUAAACUUCAAAAUUCAAAUGGCUAACAAAAAAAAAAGUUGUUAAUUAUAUUUGGCAUUCUACUAAGGACAAGACUGUUUUUUUUCACUACCACCCGCAAACGCAGUUUUUGUGGUUGGUAGCGGUUGUUGGCGUUUUGAAACACUCAUAAAAAACGUUAUAAACCGUUUCAAACUGUUCAAAACCUUUUAAAAUCAAAAGCUGAUUCCAGCAAAAUUGAAGGCGGUUGCUAGAAGUUAAAAUUUCUUCUUUAAAAAAAAAUUAACUAAAAAUAUUCAGUAAAAAUUGAAAUUUUAAAAUGUAUACAUGUUAUAUUUUAAUUUAUAUUAUAAAACUUUAAAACAAAAAUAUUUCCGACGGCAAACAAGUUUGAAAUAUCUUAUCUACAUGUUCUGAUGUUACUUAGCAUUCAGUUUGAUGAAGGUAAUCUUGAAAAGCCUCCUUUUGACUCUAAGGUGAUGCAUAACUAACGUCGUUGUUUGGUGAAAAUCCAGAUUAUGUUCUGUACAGAAAAUAUUAUCCCCUCAUUGGUUACAUGAAACAAAGAUAACAUGACAUAAAAAGAAUGCAAGUAUAUGAAUAAACCAAACCGAACCAAACCCAUAUCAAAUCAAAAUAUAACCGAAGUGCCAUUACCCAUUAUUUAUAUAAGUUUCAAAAAUAAUAAACUAAAAUCUAUACUAUUAAAGCAUGAUCCUAUUUAAAAAAAUAGAAUUUUGCCCCUGCAUAUCAAUAUAUUUACAAGAAUCUCUCAUUGAUAUUUAAUUUAAACUAAAAAUAGAAUAUUCUCUAUAACUAUGGUAAUUAAUAUUUUCCAUAUUUUGUGAAUGAUAAUAAUUUUAAUUUUAUGGAAAUUAUAUUUUCCAUUUAAUUUGAAUAUCAUUUUUUAAUCUAUAAUAUUUUUAAAGAUCGGAUAUGAGAAUAUACAUGCAAAUUAAAAAAAUAUUAGCAUGUCAUUUUUACAUAAUAAUGAUAUGCCAAUUUUGAGUGUUCAAUUUUUUUUAGAAUUAUCUUAAAAUUAAUUUUUAGAUCUAACAUAAAUAAAAAUACAAACUUAUCAUAGCUUAUUAGUAACCAAAAAAAGAAAAUAAUAUUUUCAUAUCAAUAAUAAAGUUUCUUAUUACCAUUGUUUUAUUUUAUUCAAAUGACAUAAUACAAAUCUCAUUAAAGUCUAAAUGAUUAUUUUUUCAAUUUUAUAUAAUAUUAAGAAGUAUGAAUUAUUUAAUAAACAUUUCAAAAAAUAUUAUUUAUGUUUUUGGUUUUUAUCGGAUCAUCUCAUAUCGGAUCUUAGGUUAUAGGGAUGGGCAUUUUACAUGAUAUCCGAAGUUACACCCGUACCCGACCAUAAAAAUCCGAACCGAAAUCCGAACCGAAAUAGCAAAAUACUCAAAUGGAUAUUAAGUUAUGAGAGAUUGGAUAUCCGAACCCGAACGGGUAAUACCCGAAACCGAAUGGAUAUCCGAAAAUAAUCGAACAUAUGUAUACUGACCCUUAUAUAUUGAGGUGAUUAUAGUUAUAAUCUGGGAUAUGCAAUAUUUUUUGGAGUCAUUUUUGCGGCCCAUCUUGAUCAUUUCUUCAACAUUAAUAAUAAAAUACUUUGGCCCAUUUUAAUUCCCUUCAGCAUCAAAAAUCAAUUGGAAAUAUAAGAUAUGAACAUUAUUAUUAUUUUUCUUGAAUAGAUAUAUUACCAUAUAUAUUUUAAAUUAAAACUAUAACAUUUUCCUUGAUAAUAGUAAUUGUUAUGUUAUUUAUUUAUAAAAUAAACAUUAUAAAGAAUUAAUAUUAUAAGCAUUAUAAAAAUAAUAUUGAAGAAAAGUUAAGGUUAAGAUAAAAAAUAUGUUAUCCUAUAACAUAAAAAGAAAAUCAUACUUUAUUCCUAAGUUACACUUAAUAACAUAAAUAUGAUAUGUGUAGUAUAUAAUUUAUGAUUUGUUUUUUUUAAGACCGAAUGUUGUCUGAAAAUUGAAGAAAAGAAAGAGAAAAAAUAAUGUGAUUGUUUUUGUCAGUAUAUUUGUGUUGGGCUUGAAUCGUGUAUAUGAUGUACAAGCCCAAAUUGAUGGCUUGAAUAAUCAUUCACAUUUAUAUUUUGUAUUUUUAUAUUUUUCUCUUAUAUAUUUGUUUUGUUAAGCAUAUUUUUUUACACCUACCAUCUUUAUUAUACAAUAUCACUUUUUAUGACCAUAUUUGUUUAUAAAUAAACAGUCAAUUGUACUUAUAUUUAUUCUAUAUAAAAAUAAUAUCAGCAAAAAGUUUAUACAUAGUUACCCUAAUAUUAUUUAAUGUUUAUAACUUUUUAAAGUUUUUAGUCAAUAUAUCAAAUAUUAAAAAUCAAUACUUUAUAUAACCGAAUAUAACUCAUAAUUCUAUCGUGCCCCUAAAACGAAUAAAAAAUAAUCAAUCCUAUACCACAUAUUAUUUGAUAUAUAUAUGUCGGACCAAACCAAAAUUAUUAACGACAAUCGAUCUCAACCCGGAUACUCAUGCCUAAACAUACUUAUGAAAAAUCAAACAAGAGCAUAAAUUUAAAGCAAAAACGAUUGUCCCGCCCUCUAAAAGGGCGGGUCAAAAUCUAGUAUAAUAGUAAAACAAGACUAACUUGGUACCUAACUGAAAUAAUGUUAAUGCAUGGACCAGUUUAAUGGUUCUUUGGUUUGAUUCAUUAAACUCGAUUUAAUUAAUAACUGGGGACAUCAAAAACGCCAUGAAAAUUACUUACAGGAUAUCGAUAACGUAAUAUGACACAAAACUAAAACUAUUGAUCCGCACGCCCGUAUUUAUUUUUUUAUAAGAUAUGUUGCUAUUUGUUUUUCAUGUCAAUAUUAAAGUUUGACAAAUUAAAAACCCAACAAAAAAUCGAACUGAUUCCGAUCCAAAAAAAAUUACCAAAACCGAACCGAAAUUGAUUAAAUAUCUAAAUAUCUAAAAUUUUAGUAUUUAGAAAUUGAAACCGAAUCCGAU